rnacentral:rRNA from 1 species
AAGACCUUGCGCUUUUGGAGCGGCCGAMGCCUGAUUAGCUUGUUGGUAAGGUAAAAGCUUACCAAGGCUUCGAUCAGUAGCUGGUCUGAGAGGACGACCAGCCACACUGGGACUGAGACACGGCCCAGACUCCUACGGGAGGCAGCAGUGGGGAAUUUUGGACAAUGGGGGCAACCCUGAUCCAGCCAUGCCGCGUGAGUGAAGAAGGCCUUCGGGUUGUAAAGCUCUUUCAGCCGGAACGAAACGGUUACGGAUAACACCCGUGACUACUGACGGUACCGGAAGAAGAAGCACCGGCUAACUACGUGCCAGCAGCCGCGGUAAUACGUAGGGUGCGAGCGUUAAUCGGAAUUACUGGGCGUAAAGCGUGCGCAGGUGGUUUUGUAAGUCAGAUGUGAAAGCCCCGGGCUCAACCUGGGAACU